rnacentral:rRNA from 1 species
UCGAUUCCCUUAGUAGCGGCGAGCGAAACGGGAAGAGCCCAAACCAACAAGCUUGCUUGUUGGGGUUGUAGGACACUCUAUACGGAGUUACAAAGGACGACAUUAGACGAAUCAUCUGGAAAGAUGAAUCAAAGAAGGUAAUAAUCCUGUAGUCGAAAAUGUUGUCUCUCUUGAGUGGAUCCUGAGUACGACGGAGCACGUGAAAUUCCGUCGGAAUCUGGGAGGACCAUCUCCUAAGGCUAAAUACUCUCUAGUGACCGAUAGUGAACCAGUACCGUGAGGGAAAGGUGAAAAGCACCCCGGAAGGGGAGUGAAAUAGAACCUGAAACCGUGUGCUUACAAGUAGUCAGAGCCCGUUAAUGGGUGAUGGCGUGCCUUUUGUAGAAUGAACCGGCGAGUUACGAUUUGAUGCAAGGUUAAGCAGUAAAUGUGGAGCCGUAGCGAAAGCGAGUCUGAAUAGGGCGUUUAGUAUUUGGUCGUAGACCCGAAACCAGGUGAUCUACCCUUGGUCAGGUUGAAGUUCAGGUAACACUGAAUGGAGGACCGAACCGACUUACGUUGAAAAGUGAGCGGAUGAACUGAGGGUAGCGGAGAAAUUCCAAUCGAACCUGGAGAUAGCUGGUUCUCUCCGAAAUAGCUUUAGGGCUAGCCUCAAGUGAUGAUUAUUGGAGGUAGAGCACUGUUUGGACGAGGGGCCCCUCUCGGGUUACCGAAUUCAGACAAACUCCGAAUGCCAAUUAAUUUAACUUGGG